AGCAGCCGCGGUAAUUCCAGCUCCAAUAGCGUAUAUUAAAGUUGUUGCAGUUAAAAGCUCGUAGUUGAAUUUCGGGAUCAAUAUAUUGGUCAUGCUUAGGUAUGUACUGGUAUUAUUGAUUUCUCCCUUCUGAAGAACCAUGAUGUCAUUAAUUUGAUGUCGUGGGGAAUCAGGACUGUUACUUUGAAAGAAUUAGAGUGUUUAAAGCAGGCUUUCGCUUGAAUACAUUAGCAUGGAAUAAUGAAAUAGGACGUUUGAUUCUAUUUUGUUGGUUUCUAGGAUUGACGUAAUGAUUAAUAGGGAUAGUUGGGGGCAUUAGCAUUCAAUUGUCAGAGGUGAAAUUCUUGGAUUUAUUGAAGACUAACUACUGCGAAAGCAUUUGCCAAGGAUGUUUUCAUUAAUCAAGAACGAAAGUUAGGGGAUCGAAGACGAUCAGAUACCGUCGUAGUCUUAACCAUAAACUAUGCCGACUAGGGAUCGGAUGAUGUUAAUUUUUUAAUGACUCAUUCGGCGCCUUACGGGAAACCAAAGUGUUU
rnacentral:rRNA from 1 species